UUUUGCUAUUCACUUCCCUCCCUCCCCCAUCACUAUAUCCACCCCUUCACCACUAAGGUGUUGAAAAGAGUAUUUCAAAUACUAGAGACUUGAGCUUUGGCAAAUCCAUGCAUUUCAAUAUUAUAAUCUCGAUCUGAAAGUUUGAAGUUAUUGAAGAAUUAACUUCCUAUAGUAAGGCCGCACUGCAGUGCACUGCAGCCAAUGCGUGUUUAUUUAAUUCAAUUUUUUUAAACACACUAGAUUUUUUAGCCUAUUACUGAGAUAUUCAUAUACAUAUGUCUAUAUUUAUAAACAAACAUAUAGAAAAUGUAUGCAGGUAAUAUAAUAUAUAAUAUAAUAUUGUUAUAUUCUAAGAAUUCUUCAAAAUUUCAGCUGCAUUUCCAUUUAUGUGCUCGCAGCCCUGGUAUUUUCCUAAUAUACAUAUGUACAUAUAUAUUAUAUAUGUAUAUACAUAUAUACUGAAGCGUAGCGCAAUAAAAAGAAAGAACAAAAAGAACAUCACAUCAAUUGCAUGCAGAGCAAAUGCAAUUGGUUUGCGUGGGGCCGACUCGGAGGAGGCAGUUUAUGCUCGGGAAAGAGAGAGAGAGAAAGGGUCAAUGUGUGUAGCAUUGAAGUUGUUGGCUGCAGCACCAACACUACUGCCACCGUCACCACCGCCGUCGUUGACGCUAGCUGCGCCACCCGCUUGGCCGAGCGUUGAUGUUCGAUUUUUCACCAUUCUUGAAAAUUUGAUGAGCUGCAUGUGCAAGCCUAUGUUUGUAUGUAUGCAAUUUAUAUAUAUAUAUAUAUAUAUUGAGGAGGAGACACCCCUAGCCAGCACCCAUACAUGCUUUUGUCAACUUACCACAUGAAGUUGUUGUUGCGGUUCGUACUGUUGUUGCUGCUGCUGCUGUAAGGCGGUUCCCUGCGCUGAAUAAGUUGAUAUAGCGCUAUUAA